GACUCUCGGCAACGGAUAUCUCGGCUCUUGCAUUGAUGACGAACGUAGCGAAAUGCGAUACCUGGUGUGAAUUGCAGAAUCCCGCAAACCAUCGAGUCUUUGAACGCAAGUUGCGCCCGAGGCCACUCGGCCGAGGGCACGCCUGCCUGGGCGUCA
rnacentral:rRNA from 1 species